rnacentral:rRNA from 1 species
AUUCAAAAAGCGGAGGAAAAGAAACUAACUAGGAUUCCCUUAGUAACGGCGAGUGAACCGGGAUGAGCUCAAAUUUGAAAUCUGGCGUCUUUCAGGCGUCCGAGUUGUAAUCUAUAGAGGCGUUUUCCGCGCCGGACCGCGUCCAAGUCUCUUGGAAUAGAGUAUCAAAGAGGGUGACAAUCCCGUACUUGACGCGACAACCGGUGCUCUGUGAUACGUUCUCAACGAGUCGAGUUGUUUGGGAAUGCAGCUCUAAAUGGGUGGUAAAUUCCAUCUAAGGCUAAAUAUUGGCGAGAGACCGAUAGCGAACAAGUACCGUGAGGGAAAGAUGAAAAGCACUUUGGAAAGAGAGUUAAACAGCACGUGAAAUUGUUAAAAGGGAAACGAUUGAAGUCAGUCGUGUGAAAGGUAUUCAGCCGUCUCUGGCGGUGUAUUUGCCUUUCACGGGUCAACAUCAGUUUAGUCCGGUAGAAAAAGGCUGGAGGAAGGUGGCACCCUCGGGUGUGUUAUAGCCUCCUGUCAUAUGUGCCGGAUUAGACUGAGGAACGCAGCUUGCAGCAAUGCCGGGGUUCGCCCACGUACAAGCUUAGGAUGUUGACAUAAGUGGCUUUAAACGACCCGUCUUGAACCCCCG